rnacentral:rRNA from 1 species
UGCAGCGGAUCGCAUGGAUAUGUUGUUAAAGGUUUACCGCCUUGGGAUAGGCUUGCGUCUGAUUAGCUAGUUGGUGUGGUAACGGCACACCAAGGCUACGAUCAGUAGCUGGUCUGAGAGGAUGAUCAGUCACACUGGAACUGAGACACGGUCCAGACUCCUACGGGAGGCAGCAGUGAGGAAUAUUGGGCAAUGCUCGAAAGAGUGACCCCAGCAACGCCGCGUGGAGGAUGAAGGUAUUCUAUAUCGUAAACUCCUGUGAGAGCAGACGAAAGACAGAUUAUUAAUCUGGAUGACUGUAUGCUCAGAGGGAAGCCCCGGCUAACUACGUG